rnacentral:lncRNA from 1 species
GACACCCCCAGCAAGUCAGGGCCCCUCCUGACCAGGGACCAAGGCUUCGGAGAAGACUCUGGAGAAGGCUCGGAGGAAACUGGGAAGCUGGUUCUUUGGCCCAAAGUGCUUUUACAGCCUACCUGUAUUUUACCGGCCCUCCUAGACGGGGGGAACUCCCCUGUCCUCUGCAGGAAUGUCAAAAGCCACCCAUCUUUAACCACCUAAUGCUCCCAUCAGCAGAGAGGCACACAGCACAGUGAACGUCGAGCAUGCACACCAGGAAGCCCAGGUUCGAGUUCUGACCGUCACUUACUGGUGGUAAUGAUGGUACUAGAUGUCAGAGUCAAGGGAGCUGAGGAAGGCAUCCAAGUAAGGAGGUGGCGUGGGCACUCCCUGACAAGGCUACACGAGUGCA